GCAUGGAAAACCAAUAAUAAAUACACAGAUACGCUCACAAUAAGUUUGCUCUUAAAUAAAUAAAAAUGGCAAGGCAAUAGAGUUAGAACAAACAUUCGUAACGAAAAAAGUAAAUGAUUGCAGAUGUUAAACUUGUUGCAAUACGUCCUAGAACAUGAAUUACUUAAAAGACUCUCAAGAAGGCACCGAUAGCAAAUCAAAUAACAAUUAGAGAUUUUCGUUGGGGCGUCUACAUAAAUGAAUCCUGCAUCCAUUGAUACAAAUUAAGUUCAUCUACUUCACCACUCAUACUACAAAAAAGGUCGUACCCAGUGCACAAGGCUCCCGCUUUACACAGGGUCUGGGAGAGGUGAAUGUCGGCUAGCCUUACCCCCAUUUAUGGAGAGGCUGCUCCCAAGUCUCGAACCCGAGACCUACCACUCAUACUACAAAAGAGACUAAAUUUAAACCAAGAUAAAAUGAAUUUCGAUUUCGUUCAUUUCUAGCUUAGUUCUAUAUGAACUUCUCAAUCAUCGCAAGACACUAUUCCGGAUUUAUAAGCUGAGACAAAUAAUUCCGGAUUUAUAAGCUGAGACAACUAAUUGAUCACAAAUUUAAAGCAUAAUUCUUGAUUCGAAACACCACAUUAAUCGAUUAAUCCAAACACGAAAUUAAUGACAAAAGCCAAAAAAAAAAAAACUGAAACAAUUGCCG
rnacentral:lncRNA from 1 species